GCCUUCUUAGCUCAGUCGGUAGAGCAUCAGACUUUUAAUCUGAGGGUCGCGGGUUCGAGUCCCGCAGAGGGCU
rfam:Brugia malayi, FR3, WGS project CAPY01000000 data, contig: ctg1511452m